GCCAGCGUAGUAUAGUGGCUUGAGCAUUGGACUACGACUCUGGAGAUCAGGGUUCAAAUCCCCUCUCAGCCA